ensembl:lncRNA
GUUGGACCGCCGCUUUAAUAAAGAUGUGUGAGCAGGCAAGUAAAUAAUUUCUACAUACCAUUGCAAACUGUUAAGCCACUUACCAGCCUGCAAAAUGUUUAGAUUUUCAGUCUUGUUUGUUCUGUAUGAACAUUAAUUGUAGAAUGAUAUUACAUAUAGAAUUGGAUAUAGCGUAGAGAUUUGUGCAUAUUUUAAAACAUAUUCUCGCAUGCAUCUUGGGAAUAAGGUUUUGAAAUUAGUCUUCCAAAUUUCCAAAGGAACAUUAAUUCCCAGCAGAGUAGGCUAAAUAAUGAUACAUUUUAUUUAUAUAGUGCUUUACAUGGUAGGCUACUCAAAGACACUUUACAGUAAAACCAGCACGUUUAGCACAUAAACAGCAAUAAAAACUUUUUCCGUUGUCUACAACUUUCCUAGUAAGUAGAUAUUUUUAAAUCCUUCUGCAUUCAGUCGGUCUGCAAUUGUCUGCCAGGCCUUUUCUCUCUGUGUAAUUACCGCUGCAGUUUUACCUUUUACAUAUUAUAUGCUUCACCUCCUCAUAAAUUUCCAGAAUUAGUUGCUGCUUAGCGGGUGAAAAAUAUGCUGCGCGCGUCUUCUCCAUUUCUGCAUCAGUAAAUCUGCGAUCAAUACUGUGGUCUAUUUAAGAAAGCCGUUGACACGCACUUAUCCCAGCUACAGUACGUACAGUGCAUCCGGAAAGUAUUUGCAGCGCUUCACUUUUUCCACAUUUUGUUAUGUUACAGCCUUAUUCCAAAAUGGAUUGAAUUCAUUCUACACACAACAACCCAUAAUGACAAAAUGAAAACUGUUUUUUGCAAAUUUUUGCAAAUCUGUUAAAAAUACGAAACGAAAACAUAACAUGUACAUACUGUAAGUAUUCACAGCCACUCAAUUUAGCUCAGGUGCAUCCUGUUUCCACUGAUCAUCCUUGAGAUGUUUCUAUAACUUGAUUAGAGUCCACCUGUGCUAAAUUCAGUUGAUUGGACAUGAUUGAGAAAGGCACACACCUGUCUAUAUAAGAGGAAGAUGAGAGAACAGGGGAAGCCGUGAGAGCAGACUCAGAGGAAGAUGAGAGAACAGGGGAAGCCAUGAGAGCAGACUCAGAGGAAGAUGAGAGAACAGGGGAAGCCAUGAGAGCAGACUCAGAGGAAGAUGAGAGAACAGGGGAAGCCAUGAGAGGAGAGGAAGAUGAGAGAACAGGGAAAGCCAUGAGAGCAGAGGAAGAUGAAGAAGAGACUGUUGUGUCAAAUGAUCCUGGUUUGUGGCCAACAAAAAUUAGCAAUGCAGACAGAGAAAAAAUUGUUGUAAAAUAGCUUCUUCUAAAGAUAAAGAACAAGAAAUGCCACAUGAUUCAAAAGGUAAAGCCUUCCCCGAAUACCUCAAGAACACAAAUUCAGGAAAUUGCCGGGAAAAGAUUAGAGAGACUGGGUCAUUUACAGCCAAAGCACAAAUGCACUAUUUUGUAUUCCUUGUGUAUUAUUUGGUCAUGAGCUAAAAGAAACCUUGUAUGAGCGCACUAAGCAGUCAACAUGGUUAUAAAAUCAAAGACAUAACAUGGCGUCGAAUGUAUGAUAAAUUCCCUAACAACGAAAGCAGCAAAGCACCAGUGUUAAUUUCGUCGACGAAAACUAUGACGAAAAUUUUUCGGUAACGAACCUUUUUUCCAUGACUAAGACGAGACUAAGACGUGACAAACGAUCUUAAAAAAUAAAAACUAUGACUAAAUCUAUUUUAACUUUCGCUAACGAGACAAGACGAACAUGUUGGUGGUUGACGAAAUCACGAUACUUUUUUCCCCCUAAAUUUCCACGCAGCUGACUGAAAACAGACCGGCAAAGAACGGCGGAUAUUAACGUGUCAUAAUUGGGACCACUGUCCUGACCCUCUGUUGUUUGCAGUGCGGGAGGUCCCCCAGCCCUCCACGGGAUUUUCUCCUUUUGAACUUUUCGGUGGGUGGUCGACUCUCUACGCUACUACCUCCUGGGACGCUCUUUCACCCUCUGUUCGGAGAAGGGAGUGGUUCAGGGAACGGCGCCGGGGGAGGCAAUUGGCCUCAGCUGAAAUUAACCAGUGUGUGUAUUCUGCC